rnacentral:rRNA from 1 species
GGCCGCGGGAAUUCGAUUCAGGCCUAACACAUGCAAGUCGAACGAGUUUACUUUUAAUGAAGGCGGUGUUUGCACCAACUGAUUUAAAAAUAAACGAGUGGAGAAAAGGUGAGUAACACGUGGGUAACCUACCCUAAAGUGGGGGAUAACAUUUGGAAACAGAUGCUAAUACCGCAUAAUAUUAAAAACCACAUGGUUUUUAAUUGAAAGACGGCGUAAGCUGUCACUUUUGGAUGGACCCGCGGCGUAUUAGCUAGUUGGUGAGGUAACGGCUCACCAAGGCGAUGAUACGUAGCCGACCUGAGAGGGUGAUCGGCCACAUUGGGACUGAGACACGGCCCAAACUCCUACGGGAGGCAGCAGUAGGGAAUCUUCCACAAUGGACGAAAGUCUGAUGGAGAAAGGCCGCGUGAGUGAAGAAGGUUUUCGGAUCGUAAUUUAUGGUAUUGGAGAAGAACGUAUUUGGUAGUAACUGGCCAGAUAGUGACG